rnacentral:rRNA from 1 species
GGCGGGUAGCAAUACCCAGUCGAGCGGCGAACGGGUGAGUAACGCGUGGAUUAUCUGCCCUGAGGUGGGGGAUAACCCGGGGAAACUCGGGCUAAUACCGCAUAUGACCGUGAGGUCAAAGGGGGGUCGCAAGAUCUCUCGCCAUAGGAGGAGUCCGCGUCCGAUUAGCUAGUUGGUAGGGUAAUGGCCUACCAAGGCGACGAUCGGUAGCCGGCCUGAGAGGGUGAUCGGCCACACUGGAACUGAGACACGGUCCAGACUCCUACGGGAGGCAGCAGUGGGGAAUUUUGCGCAAUGGGCUAACGCCUGACGCAGCAACGCCGCGUGGAGGAUGAAGGUCCUUGGAUUGUAAACUCCUGUCAGCAGGGAAAAAGGGACUCGACCUCAUACGUCGGGAACUUGAUUGUACCUGCAGAGGAAGCCCCGGCUAACUCUGUGCCAGCAGCCGCGGUAAUACAGAGGGGGCAAGCGUUAUUCGGAAUUAUUGGGCGUAAAGGGCGCGUAGGCGGCUUGGCAAGUGGAUGGUGAAAUCCCUCGGCUUAACCGAGGAACUGCCGUCCAAACUGCUUCGCUUGAGACCGGGAGAGGUGAGUGGAAUUCCCAGUGUAGCGGUGAAAUGCGUAGAUAUUGGGAGGAACACCAGUGGCGAAGGCGGCUCACUGGACCGGUACUGACGCUGAUGCGCGAAAGCGUGGGGAGCAAACGGGAUUAGAUACCCCGGUAGUCCACGCCGUAAACGAUGAGUGCUUGGUGUAGCGGGUAUCGACCCCUGCUGUGCCGAAGUCAACACAUUAAGCACU